AGUCAGAUGCUUAAUGGACUGAGCCACCCAGGCGCUCCAAGGCUGGGCUCUUUUAAAGAUGGGGGAGUCAAGAAGGGCUUCUUUCUGCAUGACAAAAGGCAUCAGGCCACGCAAAACCUGGGGAAAGAUUACCAGCAGAGAGAAAUGGAAGUUCAAAGGGUCUGGAGCGAGAGUGACCCUCAAGAAGACACAGCAUGAAGGUGGGCGUGGUGGGCAGUGGGCAUGGGUCUGAGGGGGCCAAGUCAGAGAGGCAGGCAGAGGCGUGAGGACGCAGGGCCACAGCGCCCUGUAAAGGGGUCUGGAGUUUCUUCCAAUGUGGAAGGGAGCCAGAGAGCAGUCAGAGGCGGGAGAGUACCACGAGCGAGCAGCUCGCAGAAGACCAGACUGCAAGAGGGGAAGGGUGCAAAAAAGGGGUUGGUUAAGCAGGCACCAUGUAGCGGGGCCCCAUGCCCCACGGCUUGUCUAGCGCCAUCUCAGGGCCAGACUCAGAGUGUCAGGUGAGCCAACAGACCCUGGCUUGGUGAGGGAGGUAUGUGGUAACAGUACAGGUGUAUGUGAGGAAGAAAUGGCAGGUGGAGGAAGAUGAUUCCCAGUUAACUGUACAGCUCAUCCCCACGUCACCAAACUCUGAGGCGGGGAAUGACCUUUGAACCCUUAGCAGCAGGAGGAAAAAGGUGCUCCAAUUCCCAGGUCUAAUCAAACCAGAAACGCCCUUAUGGGUAAUGUUAGGAAGUGUGUAUGUGUACAUAACAUUUUAAGUAAAAUAUGCCCAAUUACUGCAGUCUGAUCAAAAAGAACUUCUUUAAUGUCAGGCAUAUAAAUUGUGUAAUGACCUUUUAAAAAGGAAGCCAACUUGUGCAAGAUUCUACUGUCGCCAAAAUACACUUGGCAGAGUAUUAAAUACACUCUCUCUAUAUUUCGACAUGCAUAAAUGCCACCUACCUUCAAAACCAGUUAUUCGAAACCAUAAUAAAUGCUGUCUAGUAGGAGAGCUGGGGUACAGACCACUGAAAUUUCUCAUUAUGCAUGUUCUUUUCAAGUGUUUACAAGGGAUAUGGCCAUUGGUAGGUUACGCACAGAAAAGUCCUAGGGCUUCAUACGGUGGUGUCACCGCAUAGACACAUUUAACGUAAAUUAACUCUACAGAGAUUAACUCUACAGAGAAGAGGCUGGGGGGUGGGGGGGGGGGGGGCGGUGAGAAAGGAAAGCAAUUGACAUAGGGUAGGAAAUUCCACUCACUGUGCCUUUCCUUGAGUCUAGGCCUGAUCAUGAACAUGAGAGUCAUGACAGGAAAUGAGCUGUCCCACCCACUGGCUUGGUUCCCAUGUAUUUCAUGGUAUGGGGAUCUUACCAGGCUGGUGCCCUUCUAGGGUUCCUUUUUCCCAGCACAUGGUUGUACCUCAGCUGAUGCUCAAACAAAGCGUGGGGCUUAUGGGAAGGUGGAUUUCAUGGGCAAUUUAACAGGCAUUCAAGGGGUCAUUUUGAUUAGACAUCAUUGUGGCCUCACGCACUGGUUUUACAACCUAAUCACUUUACAGAAAGGGGGUUUGCUGUAUACCAUCAUUGGCACAGAGGUGGUUCAAUUCUACUCAGAAGGGAGGAUCAUGAAGGACCUUAGAUUACUGUCUUGCAGUUUCAAAGAACUUGAAAAUGAAGCUCGCUCAAGAAUUUUUGGAGGAACUUAAGACUCUAUGUAAAGGACAUUAACACAAACAACAGAACAUAGACAUCUUACCUAUUAAAUUGGGAGCCUCUGAAACAUAGUUUUAAAUCUAAAUUGAAUUUGUUGUGUGUUUAUUUAAAUAACCUGUGGAGAAUUAACAGGAAAGUUGUUGCAUGGAAUUUGCUUUCCUUUCUAGAAAUGUCUAUGGUAGGAAGCUAAACUCGUGAACAAAGAACAUAUGCACCCCCUCACACACGAACUUUUUUAUUCUACUAAAGAUUAUAUGAUCUCAAAACCUAAACAUUCUUUUGGAACAUAAAACCAGAAUUUAUAUCCUGGCACUUGAAGAUUUGGGAGUGAUGCCCAGAAAAACAAACAUGUUUUCUUUAAUUAGUCCUAAAGGAAAAGAAAUACAACUGGAAAUUAAUAUUGUUGGUUUAAAAAUGCAAUAGAAAACACGGCUCAUAAACUGAAGGAAAUCUGAAUUUGUUCUAGGCUUUAAUCUGAAUAAAAAGUAUAAAAAUAAAUAAAAGGCCAGUUGACAUGCUUUAAAAGGGAUGUUUCAUUUACUGUUUUUGAUGAGUUUGUGUUUUUGCUCAUGUUUAAACUCCUACUAGGCUGAUCACUGAAAAUAUCAUAUAACCUGAGUCACAUAAUAUUAACAUGAUUACUUCACUAUAUAUCUGCUCCAAGACAAUCAGCUCAGUCAGGGCAACUUUCCUUUCAAUUGCCUUCGCUGAAAAGUUGCAUAAACAUCCCAGACCAGUUAAUUCUUUCCACGGGCUUUAAGCCUCAUUGACAUGCAGAUGAGAGCCUGAUCAAAUGACAGGCCUGGGAGCCAAGUGGUGUGAGUGAAUUUACCCGCCCAGAAAUGAUGGGGGCUCAGUCUGCAAGCCCUGAGGCCUGGGCGGGCUUUCUCUCUCCUCUCCUCACAGCCUCUGUGGAAGACCAGAGUUUCUUGUAAGGAAGAGUCAACUACCCUUGAUUCUUAAAACAUGCUUCCUUGAGCACCAUGAAACGCAUACCAAGUCGGAAGUGGGAAGGAAAUGAACGCUAGGCUCAGCUUCAAGAAAAUGAAAUACCCAGUCUUCUGACAUGGGGAAAUUAAUGUGAAUUAAGGAAGCGCAAACUCAAAUGUCUACUUGGGUGGGGCCAGUCAAGCGACGGAGUCAGCUGGAAAACAGGAAUUCUAAAUUAUUGCGAGGGCAGGGUCCAGCUGGGUCGGUCUGGUUCCCAACUAUAUCCGAGCGUCCUGGCCCACAUCUGGGACAUGCUCACCCUGUAACUGAACUGGAGGACUCAGAUGUUGAAGGCUUACCAUACCACUUAUUCAAGAACAUCAAGCUGAUCCCACUGACAUGAACUCGUGUGUCCUCUUUAACUCAUCACCUCCCCGCUGGACCUUUCCUGAGUAUGAAUUACUCAGACGCUGGCCUUGAGCAAAGACCUGCCUGCCAACUCAUUCAUACAACAAAUAGUGAAACUCUUAUAAAUCAUCUGAAUUUGUCACCCAUGUCUGAAAGGGACAACAGAGCGCAGUGAUCAAGAGCACAGACUUGGAUCUAAGGUGCACAGGCUCAAAUUCCAGCUGGGCCUCUUGUUAGCUGUGUGACUUGAGCAAGUUACUUUAAUUUUCUAUGCUAUCAUUUAAAAUCUACAUAACGGAGAUGUUAAUCAUUCCUACCUCACUGGGUUAUUGUGAAGAUUCAAUUUGCUAACCUGUGUCAAGCACCUGGGACAGCGCCUGCACACAGUACGUACAUGUUUGCAUUUAUUAGUUCGCCAUUCUAUUGUCAUUUCUCUGGAGUUCCUCUUCUUGUAACUUCUUCGGAGAAUGUGCGCCUUCUAUGGCAUCCUCUCCUGGCACUACCUGGCUCAUUCUCUUGAUUCACUUCUCUCCUCUUCACAAAGCUCAAGUCGUCCACACUAAUCUGCUCUUUCCUGGGGCUGCCAUCGCCUCUAUGUUUUCACCAUAGUAUAUAUCCCACCCUUCAUGGCUUCUGACUUCCUAACUGUCCUCCGUCUCAAAACAUUUUAUUUGUGGCCGAAGAGAACAUGUAAAAUGUAAUUUACUAACAUGGAUGGUAGAUCUCAAUUCAGAACCUGCAAGGUAUAGAAUAUGCAGGACUGGAGCUGGU